rnacentral:rRNA from 1 species
UUUGUAUAAUGGGUCAGCGACUUAUAUUCUGUAGCAAGGUUAACCGAAUAGGGGAGCCGAAGGGAAACCGAGUCUUAACUGGGCGUUAAGUUGCAGGGUAUAGACCCGAAACCCGGUGAUCUAGCCAUGGGCAGGUUGAAGGUUGGGUAACACUAACUGGAGGACCGAACCGACUAAUGUUGAAAAAUUAGCGGAUGACUUGUGGCUGGGGGUGAAAGGCCAAUCAAACCGGGAGAUAGCUGGUUCUCCCCGAAAGCUAUUUAGGUAGCGCCUCGUGAAUUCAUCUCCGGGGGUAGAGCACUGUUUCGGCAAGGGGGUCAUCCCGACUUACCAACCCGAUGCAAACUGCGAAUACCGGAGAAUGUUAUUACGGGAGACACACGGCGGGUGCUAACGUCCGUCGUGAAGAGGGAAACAACCCAGACCGCCAGCUAAGGUCCCAAAGUCAUGGUUAAGUGGGAAACGAUGUGGGAAGGCCCAGACAGCCAGGAUGUUGGCUUAGAAGCAGCCAUCAUUUAAAGAAAGCGUAAUAGCUCACUGGUCGAGUCGGCCUGCGCGGAAGAUGUAACGGGGCUAAACCAUGCACCGAAGCUGCGGCAGCGACGCUUAUGCGUUGUUGGGUAGGGGAGCGUUCUGUAAGCCUGUGAAGGUGUGCUGUGAGGUAUGCUGGAGGUAUCAGAAGUGCGAAUGCUGACAUAAGUAACGAUAAAGCGGGUGAAAAGCCCGCUCGCCGGAAGACCAAGGGUUCCUGUCCAACGUUAAUCGGGGCAGGGUGAGUCGACCCCUAAGGCGAGGCCGAAAGGCGUAGUCGAUGGGAAACAGGUUAAUAUUCCUGUACUUGGUGUUACUGCGAAGGGGGGACGGAGAAGGCUAUGUUGGCCGGGCGACGGUUGUCCCGGUUUAAGCGUGUAGGCUGGUUUUCCAGGCAAAUCCGGAAAAUCAAGGCCGAGGCGUGAUGACGAGGCACUACGGUGCUGAAGCAACAAAUGCCCUGCUUCCAGGAAAAGCCUCUAAGCAUCAGGUAACAUCAAAUCGUACCCCAAACCGACACAGGUGGUCAGGUAGAGAAUACCAAGGCGCUUGAGAGAACUCGGGUGAAGGAACUAGGCAAAAUGGUGCCGUAACUUCGGGAGAAGGCACGCUGAUACGUAGGUGAAGCGACUUGCUCGUGGAGCUGAAAUCAGUCGAAGAUACCAGCUGGCUGCAACUGUUUAUUAAAAACACAGCACUGUGCAAACACGAAAGUGGACGUAUACGGUGUGACGCCUGCCCGGUGCCGGAAGGUUAAUUGAUGGGGUUAGCGCAAGCGAAGCUCUUGAUCGAAGCCCCGGUAAACGGCGGCCGUAACUAUAACGGUCCUAAGGUAGCGAAAUUCCUUGUCGGGUAAGUUCCGACCUGCACGAAUGGCGUAAUGAUGGCCAGGCUGUCUCCACCCGAGACUCAGUGAAAUUGAACUCGCUGUGAAGAUGCAGUGUACCCGCGGCAAGACGGAAAGACCCCGUGAACCUUUACUAUAGCUUGACACUGAACAUUGAGCCUUGAUGUGUAGGAUAGGUGGGAGGCUUUGAAGUGUGGACGCCAGUCUGCAUGGAGCCGACCUUGAAAUACCACCCUUUAAUGUUUGAUGUUCUAACGUGGACCCGUGAUCCGGGUUGCGGACAGUGUCUGGUGGGUAGUUUGACUGGGGCGGUCUCCUCCUAAAGAGUAACGGAGGAGCACGAAGGUUGGCUAAUCCUGGUCGGACAUCAGGAGGUUAGUGCAAUGGCAUAAGCCAGCUUGACUGCGAGCGUGACGGCGCGAGCAGGUGCGAAAGCAGGUCAUAGUGAUCCGGUGGUUCUGAAUGGAAGGGCCAUCGCUCAACGGAUAAAAGGUACUCCGGGGAUAACAGGCUGAUACCGCCCAAGAGUUCAUAUCGACGGCGGUGUUUGGCACCUCGAUGUCGGCUCAUCACAUCCUGGGGCUGAAGUAGGUCCCAAGGGUAUGGCUGUUCGCCAUUUAAAGUGGUACGCGAGCUGGGUUUAGAACGUCGUGAGACAGUUCGGUCCCUAUCUGCCGUGGGCGCUGGAGAACUGAGGGGGGCUGCUCCUAGUACGAGAGGACCGGAGUGGACGCAUCACUGGUGUUCGGGUUGUCAUGCCAAUGGCACUGCCCGGUAGCUAAAUGCGGAAGAGAUAAGUGCUGAAAGCAUCUAAGCACGAAACUUGCCCCGAGAUGAGUUCUCCCUGACCCUUUAAGGGUCCUGAAGGAACGUUGAAGACGACGACGUUGAUAGGCCGGGUGUGUAAGCGCAGCGAUGCGUUGAGCUAACCGGUACUAAUGAACCGUGAGGCUUAACCUUACAACGCCGAAG